rnacentral:rRNA from 1 species
UACGAAGGGGGCUAGCGUUGUUCGGAAUUACUGGGCGUAAAGGGAGCGUAGGCGGCUCUAUAAGUUGGAUGUGAAAGCCCCGAGCUUAACUUGGGAAUAGCACUCAAUACUGUAGAGCUAGAGAGUGAUAGAGGAUGAUGGAAUUCCUAGUGUAGAGGUGAAAUUCGUAGAUAUUAGGAGGAACACCAGUGGCGAAGGCGGUCAUCUGGGUCACUACUGACGCUAAGGCUCGAAAGCGUGGGGAGCAAACAGG